rnacentral:rRNA from 1 species
AUGAAGGUGAUCACGCCGAAAGGGGAAACAAUUCUGUCCAAGGUGGGUGAAUUAAUUGACCCUUCAACUGGCACAUGGGAUGAGACGCUGCUUGAAGCUAUAUUUUACCCUGUAGAUGUUCGAAGGAUAUUGCAGAUUCCUAUUCAUUAUCAAGCUUAUGAUGACUUUGUUGCAUGGCAGCCAAACAGAACUGGAGUUUUUUCGGUUAGAACAGUGUAUCACUUGCAGUGGUUACACACUUUUAGGGCGCAUGCAACUGAGAUAGAGAGACCAGGAAGAUUUUUUGUUGGAGGAUUCUGCGAGGAAUGGUGCCUCUUAAAGCUAUACUGGCAAAUAGACAUGUUGGAUCCAUUGGUUCUUGUCCUAUUUGACACCAAGGGGCAGAAGACAUCCGACAUCUUCUGUUUAGAUGCACGCAUGCAAGUGAGCUAUGGGAGCGAUUGGGGGUUAGAUGCGACAUCGACUGUGCUUCGAGAUGAUAGGGGGAACUUUGUUGCUGCGCAAUGUAAGUUCAUCCCAUAUGCGGCCGAUGCUAUUACCACUGAAGCAAUGGCUAUGAGAGAUGGUUUGGAAUUUACAAAUUCUCUCGGUUUUAACCAGAUCGAGGCGGAAUCAGAUUCACUCGAAGUCAUUAACUUCUGUACUGGCCACACGAGAUGGUGGGAUGAAGCAGCAGCUUUAUUUGCAGAGUGUGUGGAUAUAGGUACUAUGAUCGGGAAGAUUCCCGAUUCCUGGAUUCGGGAGCCUUCGUCCAUUUUCAAGUCGGAGCUCGGCUCGUUCAUCGAUCCGGCGGCGCAAAACCGUGGUUUCCUCGGCGCUCCGGUGAUCCGUUCGAACCCCCGGCUCGCCCAAGUCGCCAAGCGCGACACUGGUCGUUUAGGCGGCUGGUCGAGUUCUUUGACGGAGUCGGCGGCGAGCUAG